rnacentral:ncRNA from 1 species
GAAAGAUGAUGAACUAUGCCUGGGCAGAGCGAAGCCAGAGGAAAUGGUGGUGGAAGUCUAUAGCAGUCCUGAUGUGCAAAUUGGUUGGCCGGCCUGGGUAUAGGGGCAAAAGACAAAUGGAGCCAGCUAGUAGCU